rnacentral:rRNA from 1 species
UACGGAGGGGGCGAGCGUUAUUCGGAAUUAUUGGGCGUAAAGGGCGCGUAGGCGGCCUUGUAAGUCAAAGGUGAAAUCCCUCGGCUCAACUGAGGAACUGCCUUUGAAACUGCAAGGCUUGAGGCCGGGAGGGGGUAGCGGAAUUCCCAAUGUAGCGGUGAAAUGCGCAGAUAUUGGGAAGAACACCCGUGGCGAAGGCGGCUCUCUGGAACGCAACUGACGCUGAGACGCGAAAGCGUGGGGAGCAAACAGG